UUUGGGCGAGCUCUUGUUCCCCGUCUCUGGAAAGUAGAAACUUCUUCAGUGUCGAUGGUGUUGUUCGGCGGUGGCGAAUCCAAGGUGUUGAUGAAAGGUAUAAAAUUCACCAAGCAGUGCUGCUCAGUGGGUAGCCAAAGAAGGACGGGUCCUUCGAGAUGGGUUUUCAAACCACCACCUUUUACUUUGGCGUCUUUGCCAGUGAUGGCAUUUUCUUCCCCGGAGAUUCCGACAACAAGACGAUGGGGCUUUCUGGUGAACUUGACGGCAACGGCUCCAGUUGCUUUUUUUUUUUUUUUGGGGGGUGAAAGGCUCCUCUUGCUUUAAUUUGGUGUUAGGUUAGGUUUCGCGUUAUUAUGGAUUUUUAGUUUAAUGGGUUUUUUGUUGGACCUCUUGUUAGACUUGUAUUUUCUUCAUUUUUUUUGUUUCUAUUUUAUGAAAAUAUAUUGUUUUGGUUAAAAAAAACUUGAUAUAAGUAUUGUCUUUCAUUCACUUAGAGAAAGAGAUAAUCUACUUGAGAAUUAAAAUUUAAAAUUCCAAACCGUUU